rnacentral:rRNA from 1 species
UGCCUACGGGGGGCAGCAGUGGGGGAUAUUGGACAAUGGGGGAAACCCUGAUCCAGCGACGCCGCGUGAGUGAAGAAGUAUUUCGGUAUGUAAAGCUCUGUCAGCAGGGAAGAAAGAAAUGACGGUACCUGACCAAGAAGCCCCGGCUAACUACGUGCCAGCAGCCGCGGUAAUACGUAGGGGGCAAGCGUUAUCCGGAUUUACUGGGUGUAAAGGGAGCGUAGACGGUAUGGCAAGUCUGAAGUGAAAGCCCAGGGCUUAACCCUGGGACUGCUUUGGAAACUGUUAGACUAGAGUGCUGGAGG